CUACGGGUCGCUCCAGUGAGGAAUAUUGCACAAUGGGGGGAACCCUGAUGCAGCAACGCCGCGUGGAGGAUGACGCAUUUCGGUGUGUAAACUCCUUUUAUAUGUCAAGAAAAUGACGGUAGCAUAUGAAUAAGCACCGGCUAACUCCGUGCCAGCAGCCGCGGUAAUACGGAGGGUGCAAGCGUUACUCGGAAUCACUGGGGCGAAAGGACGCGUAGGCGGGUUGGAAAGUCAGGUGUGAAAUCCUACAGCUUAACUGUAGAACUGCACUUGAAACUUCUAAUCUAGAGUAUGGGAGGGGGAGAUGGAAUUAGUGGUGUAGGGGUAAAAUCCGUAGAUAUCACUAGGAAUACCUAAAGCGAAGGCGAUCUCCUGGAACAUUACUGACGCUAAGGCGUGAAAGCGUGGGGAGCAAACAGGAUUAGAUACCCCAGUAGUC
rnacentral:rRNA from 1 species